rnacentral:rRNA from 1 species
GACGGAAGGUGCAAGCGUUGCUCGGAAUCACUGGGCGUAAAGGGUGCGUAGGCGGCCGUGCAAGUCUGGCGUGAAAGCCCCGGGCUCAGCCCGGGAAGUGCGCUCGAAACUGCGCGGCUCGAGUGCCGGAGGGGAGAGUGGAAUUCCUGGUGUAGCGGUGAAAUGCGUAGAGAUGUGGAGGAAUACCGAUGGCGAAGGCAGCCUCCUGGGCCAACACUGACGCUCAUGCACGAAAGCGUGGGGAGCAAACAGG